CGCCUCGAUUUCAUCUAGCAUGCUAAUGGCGGCCAUUUGUAGCUGAUGGUACACCUACAACCUUGGUUAUAAUUGGACAUUUGGUUGCUGUUGCUGAUUUUACACUUCAAUAGAUCUUGCCCGUGGGUAGAUGCUCCAAUAUGCCAGCUGUGAAAGGGGAUGGUAUGAGAGGACUUGCAGUCUUCAUUUCGGACAUCAGAAACUGCAAGAGUAAAGAAGCUGAAAUUAAAAGAAUCAACAAAGAAUUGGCCAACAUCAGAAACAAGUUUAAGGGAGACAAGACCCUCGAUGGCUACCAGAAGAAGAAAUAUGUCUGCAAGCUGCUGUUCAUCUUCCUGCUCGGACACGACAUUGAUUUCGGUCACAUGGAGGCAGUCAAUCUUCUCAGCUCCAACAAAUAUACAGAAAAACAGAUUGGCUACCUGUUCAUCUCCGUGCUCAUCAGUGCUAGCAGUGAUCUCAUGAAGCUGGUCAUACAGUCAAUCAAGAAUGACCUCGGCAGUCGCAACCCCAUCCACGUCAACCUGGCACUGCAGUGCGUCGCCAACAUCGGCAGCCGUGAGAUGGCCGACACUCUCAGCUCCGACAUUCCUAGGCUGCUGGUCUCGGGCGACACGAUAGACUCCGUGAAGCAGAGCGCCGCCCUGACCCUCCUGAAGCUGCUCCGGUCCUCCCACGACCUGAUCCCCAUGGGGGAGUGGACGUCCCGGAUUGUCCACCUGCUCAACGAUCAACACAUGGGCGUUGUGACGUCUGCAGCCAGUCUGAUUGAGGCCCUGGUCAAGAAGAACCCAGAAGAAUACAAAGGAUGUGUCUCAUUGGCUGUGUCCAGGCUCAGCAGGAUUGUGACGUCCUCCUACACAGAUCUCCAGGAUUACACAUACUACUUCGUGCCAGCGCCAUGGCUCUCCGUCAAACUCCUGCGACUCCUGCAGAACUACCCCCCUCCAGAGGACCCAAGUGUGCGGACCAGACUUACCGAGUGUCUGGAGACAAUCCUCAACAAGGCCCAAGAACCUCCAAAGUCCAAGAAAGUCCAGCACUCCAACGCCAAAAACGCUGUCCUGUUCGAGGCCAUCAACCUCAUCAUCCACAUGGACAGCGAUCCCAACCUUCUUGUCCGAGCAUGUAACCAGUUGGGACAGUUCCUCCAACACAAGGAAACAAACCUCAGGUACCUUGCGCUGGAGAGCAUGUGUCUGUUGGCCACGUCCGAGUUCUCUCACGAGGCAGUCAAGAAGCACCAGGACACGGUCAUCACUGCCCUCAAGACCGAGCGGGACGUGAGUGUGCGGCAACGGGCGGUGGACCUGCUGUACGCCAUGUGUGACCGCACCAACGCGGAGGAGAUCGUGGGAGAGAUGCUAGAGUACCUGGAGACGGCCGACUACUCAAUCCGGGAGGAGAUGGUUCUCAAGGUAGCAAUCUUGGCUGAGAAAUAUGCAGUAGACUACACUUGGUACGUUGACGUCAUCCUCAACCUCAUCAGGAUCGCUGGAGACUACGUCAGUGAGGAGGUGUGGUACAGGGUCAUACAGAUUGUCAUCAACCGGGACGAUGUGCAGGGCUACGCUGCAAAGACAGUAUUUGAGGCCCUGCAAGCACCUGCCUGCCACGAGAACAUGGUGAAAGUCGGGGGAUACAUCCUGGGAGAGUUUGGUAACCUCAUCGCUGGCGACCCAAGGUCAAGCCCGGUGGUGCAGUUCCAGUUGCUCCACUCCAAGUUCCACCUGUGCGGCCCGGCGACCCGCGGCCUGCUCCUGUCCACGUACAUCAAGUUCAUCAACCUCUUCCCAGAGAUCAAACCCCAGAUUCAAGAUGUGCUGAAGAGCGACAACAACAUGAGAAAUCCGGACGUAGAGCUACAGCAGCGUGCAAUAGAAUAUCUCCAGCUGAGUUCAGUUGCCUCUCAAGAUGUCCUGGCUACAGUAUUAGAGGAGAUGCCCCCAUUCCCAGAGCGGGAAUCCUCCAUCCUGGCCAAGUUGAAGAAGAAGAAGCCGUCAAGUGUCCCGGAGCAGACUGAGGCCAAGGAGCAACACCGACUUCCUGCCGCCCAGAUGAACAUCAACGCUGCAGACUCCCAGCCUCCCCCCGUCAGUGUUUCAUCACCAACAAGUUCCGGGUCUGCAAUACUCCUUGAGCUGGACUCAGCGGCACCGACAUCAGCUCCGGCACCCUCGACUGGAUCAGCAGGGUACCUGGUGGAUGUCUUCGACUCGCUGGGAGGUGGGGGAGGGGUAGUCGGGACGUCUAAUGGCCUGGAGUCCAAUGGCACGGCAGCGGGAGACGAGGGCCUCAGAAAGUUCAUCUUGAAGCACAACGGGGUGUUGUACGAGAAUGACCUGCUACAGAUCGGCAUCAAGUCGGAGUUCAGACAGAACCUGGCCCGGAUCGGUGUCUUCUAUGGGAAUAAAACAUCAUUCCAGUUUACUAACUUCAAAGCUGACCUCAACACAACAGGGCCACUUGCUUCAGCUCUCCAGAUGACGCCGAAGACUGUGGAACCUACAAUAGAUGGUGGAGCUCAGGUGCAGCAAAUGUUCAACAUAGAGUGCCUCACUGAGUUCUCACAAAACCCAACUCUAGAUAUGUCAUAUAUACACAGCGGGGCAGCUCAGAAAAUGACCCUGAAGCUACCGGUGUUCCUCAAUAAAUUCAUAGAACCUGCAGAAAUGAACUCGGAAUCAUUCUUCACAAGGUGGAAAGCACUUAGCCAACCAAGUCAGGAGUGUCAGAAAAUAUUUAAGGCACUGUUUCCGAUAGAUACAGAACAAACAAAGGCAAAGCUCAUAGGCUUUGGAGUUAGUAUUUUAGAAGGUAUCGAUCCCAACCCUGAUAACUUCGUGUCGGCUGGCAUCCUGCAUACACGGAACUUACAGACAGGCUGUUUGGUUCGACUAGAACCCAAUAAACAAGUAGAGAUGUAUCGGCUGACUAUCAGAUCAACAAAAGAUUCCGUAGCAUCCAUAUUAGGCGACUUGUUGGAGGGACAGUUUUAAGGGACUUGUGUUAUACAAAUCAGUUACACCUAGGCGUAUGUUGUGUGUUAGCAGUUGUCUCACUCGGCGUCGGCAUCGACGUGGAGAACGCUUGGCAACUUCGUCAACCGACCUAGGGUGGUGCUCAUAGAGUUUCCAUUGAUGGUCACUUGACAAGGCAUUCCUGAUUGUAUUGUCUUUCUAAUUGUCCAUGGAUGCAGUUCAGAUACAUCACAAGGUACCGCCGCCACGGGACAACACAAGUCGGAUGAAAUAUCUGUGCACUGCAUGCUGGGAGUAAACAAAGGCUGUUACUGUAUGGAGAAGACCCCUAGGAAAAGCUGGAACUGGAUAAUAAGAUGAAUAAAUUACUUCAGUAUCAAGUGUUACUGUAAGAAAUGAUUACUGGGGACUUUGUCUAAACAUGACUUCUUCGGGACCCAAAGUUAAGUCCGUUGUUGAGACAGGUCUGGGUGCUACGACUGUCGUAAGUCUAUGUUAAGGUAUGGGGGUUACGAUCAUCUUAGCGCUAAGAUCGCUUUGUACAACGGCACCCUGGACUAUAGCUGAAGAUAAAGAAAUAGAAAAUAAAGAUGAGGUUGAACGAAGUAUCAUAUAUCAUGGUAAAUAUGGAAGCGUACGUCUGGUCCAGUAUUAACAAGCCCGGAUUAGUCUGGUUUCCACAGAUUCCAUUGCAAUUGUUUGUUGAUUAAACUCAUAUAGUGGAGUUUUCAAGAAUAUAUUUGGAUAAUUUCAGGCCAUUUUAUCAUGUUGGACUCCUGGUAGUUACUUAGUGCUGGAGCGGUCAGUGAUGUAUUUUGUCUUGUGUUGUGAGUAGUGGAGGAGGCUGUCUAGUCGUCCCACAUUGUGCAGACAACACCAUGUGGUAAACAUAGCUUGUGUCCUCAGUGACCUCACAAGCCUCAAACAUUGUUAAACAUAGCUUGUCUUCAGUGACCUCAAGCGUCAAACAUUGUUAAACAUAGCAUGUGUCCAGUGACCUCACAAGCAUCAAACAUUGUAAAACAAAGCUUGUCUUCAGUGACCUCAAGCGUCAAACAUUGAUAAACAUAGCAUGUGUCCAGUGACCUCACAAGCAUCAAACAUUGUAAAACAAAGCUUGUCUUCAGUGACCUCAAGCCUCCAACAUUGUAAACAUUCAGUGUCUUGAAUCCUAUGUUGGUAUUCAGUAUGUAACUCUGUGUCCAUCUUUUAACACUGUUCAGACCAGCUUCGGAAAGCUCAGCCAUCUGUCUCAGUCAUGAAUAUUGACAGCAGUAGCAGGUUUUGAAAGUAUCUACAUCAGCUUGUAGUAUUAGCUGUUUCACCAAGGCGAGUGUGCUGGGACACAAGCUAGGUCAAAUAUAAACGUCACAAUUCAACUGUCAUGGUGGAGGUCACCUCAUGUGGUGAUCAACUCAAGGGCUUGUCCCCAGAAGACUGGAAAACGCAACUGUUGGCGUAACCAGUUUGGCCAUUGUGACAAGCUGACCGACUCCAACUACAAGAUUCCGAGUCACAAGACUUUAAAUGUUUGUUGUAACCUGUUUGGUGAUAGCAUAUAGACAGGGAUUCCGAUAUCCAGAUCACAUGGCUCUGAGUCCGAAGUCUUGAACAGAACUACAGUGGGUAGUUGUGGAUCAGGUUUGAGGACAUGUGAGUGUUUCACGUGAUGACAGUUUGUUAUAUUGUGGACACUGGAGGUAUAGUAGAUAUGAGCUGUACAGUACAUGUUCGUUGUAGAUAUGUUAGAUCUAUUCACUGCUAUGAAAUGUUUAGUAUAAAAAGGCCUUUGAGAAGCGUCUGUCUGUGUUGGUGUAAUUGCAGCAUGUUUACAUUAUACAUAGAACACACUGGCAGACUUGUAGUUACGAGACUGCAAUUGUUAGAUAUGUUACCAUGGUUACAUAGAGAAUCUGAUUAUUUUCAUAGGACUCCGUCCUGUAACAUUUAGAUGGAAAGAUGCUUGCAUGCUUUGAAAUGAUUGAGAAAAGAAACCAAGAAGUUUGAAAUUUGCUCCUGCAUGUUAGUAUCUUUGGGCAUGGGUGGUUGAGUAGUCCAGGAUGGUUCAGAGUUUCCCAAUUUGAUCGUCUCUCUGUGAUUUGAAUCCCAGAUGCUCCUGAUAAAUGACCUUUGGUCUGCAUGAUCCUUGAUCCUUGAUCUGUUUUUGAUCUGUCAUGAUUCUUGAUCUGUCAUGAUCCUUUAUCUUUGGCCUGUCAUGAUCCUCGAUUUGUCAUGAUUCUUGAUCUGUCAUGAUCCUUGAUCUGUCAUGAUCCUUUAUCUUUGGCUUGUCGUGAUCCUUGAUUUGUCAUGAUCCUUGAUCUGUCAUGAUCCUUGAUCUUUGGCAUGUCGUGAUCCUUGACCUGUCUUCAGUUCGCCUUCAGCUCGUGGGUUCACCAGACUUGCAUAUCUGUAAUCUGCAUCACUUUGGUCUGUCCUCCUCCCACAUGACACCGGCGCGCUAUGUAACUGUUACUGAUGCUACAGUUCAGGUCAUGACAAAAUGUAACCCAACACAGCCUCUCUUCCACUAUGGAGGAGAGCAGAUCUUAAGAGUGAAUGGUCAAGUGGUCAAUUUGCUGUCACAGCAGUGCACUGUGGGAAGGCUGAAGAUCAAGACGUGAACAUAGUUUAGCCAGCUAGUAGACAAACAUUCCCUUUGUGUUGAGGGCCAGGCAGCCCUGACACUCAAGGGCGCACCAGCCUCGACUUUGCACACUUUUGUAUUUUUACAAACUAUUGUUAAUGAUUUGUUGACUUGUGAUAAAUUGUUUUAUGUAAAUCUCUGUUUAAGGAACGUGUGUUAAAGGAACUAGCACUGUUAUGUACCAGUAAGUGGAGGUUUCUGAGCUAUAAAAUCUUUAGUUUGCUAGCUAUGUCUUCUUGUGAUAGUGAUAUUAUGGGUGAGAUAGUUGUUCAGUGAGAGAAUUUGAUCAUAGAGAGUUCUAAGACUAAGUUUCAAGGAGUCUUCACAGGCAGAAUCGUCCUGAUCGGCAAACAUUUAAAAAAUCAUUAUUGUAACUGUUGAUAAUUUGGUCAAAACUUGGAUAGGAUUUAUUCAUUGGUACAAAUUCAACUGAAUAGUGUGCUACAUGAGAACAUCCCAAAGUUUUGUUGAUGGCCUUUGGAAUAUAUUUUGUUUUAUAAGCAGGCCAUGUGGAUGGUGAUGUCCUGAACAGAAGUCAUUGAUCUUUUGUAGGUUUGAUGUAUGAGACCUGAACAAGCUUGCUGCUACUUGUUUACUGUGUAUAUUCAUGGAUUCUGUUCUUUAAAGAAGCUUGUGCUCUUGAAAUGAUAACUGCAAUGCUUUGCUGGUGUAUAAGAACAAGUGUUGCAUGUCCAGAGGGUUGAGUGAAUCACGUGAUGUGAAAGGUUACAAUAUGUUAUCAACCAUUGUUAAAUCUUAUUGUUUUCUUCUGAUUUGUAAAUUUUAUGUAUACUUUGUACAUUGUGUCCUAGCCUUCUAUAGCUAGCCUUGCUCUAUGUACUGAGGAAAUGUAUAACUAUAUUUAAUUGGGUGACAAACUCUCCUCACCUAAAUAUUGUAUAUAGCUCUAUAUAUAGGCUUGUAAAUGCAUGCUUAAAGUUUAGUUAGGCUACAAAGAGAUUUGUGUUUGAUCAUGCAAUGCUGUGUGUGUUGAACAGCACCCGGAGGUGGAGUUGCAGGCUGAGGUUGGGAUGAGAGGCAAGGGGAGGUUACCUCUGAAAUGUUUCCUGGAAUGAAGGUGUUAUGGCAUGAGGUGUUGCUUCUAUUAUCAAUGUUAUCAUUAUGCAAUGGCGGUCAUACUGAAUCAUUAAAAAGAGCAAGGAAAACAAAGGCCUUCAAGUUGUUGCUACACCUUCCUUUCCAGCGUCCUUCUUGCUUACUCAUGUAAUAAGCCUGCUGCUGCUUCUGUCUGAGCCUGCUAGGAUGACCAUUGACGGGUUACGGUGUCAGUUGGUAAAAGAUUCAUAUCUUUCUCGUUUACAUUCCCACUUCACGUGCUAAUCCUCAAUAUUCAUCCAUCCCUUCGGCUAUUUUCAAUCCUCUCCCAUCUCUUUCAACAUCUCCUUGCCCCAAACUACCCUUCACCUAACCCACCCUUCACCUUACCUACCCGUCACUAAACUUGCCCUGACACAACCAACCCCUCACCCACUCAAAUCCUCCCCCAAUAACCCUCGUCCUCCCAUCCCCUCGAACCAAAGUCCAUCCCUCUUGCCCAGCCUCCUUCCCCUGAGCUCCACCUCCCCUCCUCCCCAUAGCUCCACCUCCCAUCCUCCCAAGAGCUCCACUCCCCUCCUCCCAAGAACUCCACUCCCCUCCCAGCCAAUACCACGAUGCAUUAUCUGGCCUCCUCCUGGCAUUAUUCCUGUUUCCCUUCCAUGCUUAUUAACAUGCUCUGAAUGUGAUACUGUAUUUAGAUACACACACCAUAAUGUUAUUUAAUGUACUCAUGGUCAUAACGAUGCAUAAAGGUAUUGUAGAUUCAGUGGGCUUGAAGACUCAUCAGCUUUCUUCUAAAGCAGGCUCAUGUGGCAACAAAUGUGGACCAGCCAUAAUCAGUUGUUAUGCAGUGGUAGUCCAGUCGGAACCAUUAUCAGACUUGUUUUAGGUUAAUUGCUUGUCCAGGUAAGUGGACACAGACAUAAUUGUCAGCUUACCUGUGGGAAGUCUUGGAACUAACAACAGUCACACGGCAUGUAUGGUAUCAUUAGUUGUAUACAGUCAUUGUCCCUACAUCAUUCAGGGAUAGAGCUCUGGCAUACAUGGGGGUUGUUUAGAUAGACACAAAUUGUAUGGGAAGAUAGGAUGUGUAUGGUUACGUUGUUACGAUAAGGUUAGUGAUCAGUGACUCUGGUAGAUGUGGGAUGAAUAAAACCGUUAUAGUCCAAGAUGCAUCUGUAGGUGAUGAACAGCUGUGGUAGUACCUGUCAGUAGAGUCUGUGCAGUCGCCCAAUAAAGCUGAGUCAUGAACCUGAAUAAAACAAGUUCCCUAUUCUUUUUUUCAGUGCAGGUUGCAAUGUCUACAUGAAAUCCCCAAGCUUAACACACAUGAUCCAGUUUGAUUGUACAUCUUAGAAUGUUGUACAUAGUCCAAGGCAUGUUUCACCAACUGUCCUGGUGCUAAUAUUGGUGUGUGGGUCCUUUCUUCAUCCUGGAUGUACACUGUAGCACAAGGGUUGCUGUGAGGAACUGAGGCCUGUUGACUGCCCUUUUUGUCAGUGUUAGAAGCAGGUGUAUUAUGCAGUGCUAAAGUAGUCAUUGUUCCUGUGGACUGUAGUUCCCUCGUGAGAAGACUGUCCCUGUUGUCUGGUGCAAUAGUUAGUGUAGUUUACUCAUAGUUUCCUCAUAGGUCAGGGGAGAUCACUCAUAGUUUCCUCAUAGGUCAGGGGAGAUCACUCAUCAACACACGUAAACACAUCCGAUUAGAAAACUGCUUAGCUCUCAAAUGUUGUCAAUGCAGUUUCUUGAAUCGGUUAAUUAUGUGGUAUUUCAGGUUUGUCCACGAUUUCUUUUUAAGUAGGUGGUUAGGAUUUGAAGAAAUAGCCAUUUGAAAAUGUCACUUGAAUUACAAUUGGAUUAUUUGAAGUUUUGUAGUCAGAUGAAUGGUUUUGUAACACAGACUUUUUGUAUGAUAAUUUGUAUGGAGAGUGGUAGGCCACUGGGCCCAGCCCCACUGGAGGCACAAGCCACAAGGUGAUGUGUCCCAGGUAGCUACACUGAUCAUGUCCAUGAUACCUGCACAGCCUGACAAUGUAUGUCAUACUCAUGUAAUAAAGGUGAUUUUUAAAAAGAA
rnacentral:misc_RNA from 1 species